AAGACGUUUGUUUCAGUUGAAUCUUAACUUGGCUAGCGUAAAGAUGUUGAUUGACCGAUUGGUACUUUUGUUAUGUAUCCUGGCCUUUGUGGCUGCAACCCAUAACCAGACCUUAGUGACUCCAACCCCUAACCAGAACUUAGUGACUGCAACCCCUAAAGUUCCCACCCAAGUUUGCCAGCGAAGAGGCGGAUAUUGUCGAGAGCAAACGGAUUGCUGCUCGGGAAAUUGCAUACACGUGGCCGGAGAAUGUCAGUGAAAAUACUGAGAAUUGCUAUAAUCUGCGAUGUCACGCUACAGCUGUAAUUACAGCUGUCUUCAUGGAAAUAGCACUGAAGAUGACCAUCACUUUCUACAUUGAUUAAUGUUUUUCUUUUUAAUAUAACUUAGUAAUUUGUUUUUUCAAUGUGUUCAGUAUAUUUCCAAUAUGACUACCAUUGAGCGAAAAAACGACAUAUAAUGAAAUAUCAGUGUUAACGGAAAAAGGCAAAUAAAUCUAAUAAAGGUUUUAUAAACUAACUAAAACUAAACAAAUAUACUUGUUUAUGGCCUAAUA